rnacentral:rRNA from 1 species
AAGUCGAGCGAACAGACGAGGAGCUUGCUCCUCUGACGUUAGCGGCGGACGGGUGAGUAACACGUGGAUAACCUACCUAUAAGACUGGGAUAACUUCGGGAAACCGGAGCUAAUACCGGAUAAUAUAUUGAACCGCAUGGUUCAAUAGUGAAAGACGGUUUUGCUGUCACUUAUAGAUGGAUCCGCGCCGCAUUAGCUAGUUGGUAAGGUAACGGCUUACCAAGGCAACGAUGCGUAGCCGACCUGAGAGGGUGAUCGGCCACACUGGAACUGAGACACGGUCCAGACUCCUACGGGAGGCAGCAGUAGGGAAUCUUCCGCAAUGGGCGAAAGCCUGACGGAGCAACGCCGCGUGAGUGAUGAAGGUCUUCGGAUCGUAAAACUCUGUUAUUAGGGAAGAACAAAUGUGUAAGUAACUAUGCACGUCUUGACGGUACCUAAUCAGAAAGCCACGGCUAACUACGUGCCAGCAGCCGCGGUAAUACGUAGGUGGCAAGCGUUAUCCGGAAUUAUUGGGCGUAAAGCGCGCGUAGGCGGUUUUUUAAGUCUGAUGUGAAAGCCCACGGCUCAACCGUGAGGGUCAUUGGAAACUGGAAAACUUGAGUGCAGAAGAGGAAAGUGGAAUUCCAUGUGUAGCGGUGAAAUGCGCAGAGAUAUGGAGGAACACCAGUGGCGAAGGCGACUUUCUGGUCUGUAACUGACGCUGAUGUGCGAAAGCGUGGGGAUCAAACAGGAUUA